CGAACGCUGGCGGCAUGCCUAACACAUGCAAGUCGAACGAGACCCAACUUCGGUUGGACGUCUAGUGGCGCACGGGUGCGUAACGCGUGGGAAUCUGCCCUUUGGUACGGAAUAACUCAGAGAAAUUUGUGCUAAUACCGUAUAAUGACUUCGGUCCAAAGAUUUAUCGCCAAAGGAUGAGCCCGCGUUAAGAUUAGCUAGUUGGUGAGGUAAAAGCUCACCAAGGCGACGAUCUUUACUGGUCUGAGAGGAUGAUCAGCCACACUGGGACUGAGACACGGCCCAACUCCUACAGGAGGCAGCAGUGGGGAAUAUUGGACAAUGGGCGAAAGCCUGAUCCAGCAAUGCCGCGUGAGUGAUGAAGGCCUUAGGGUUGUAAAGCUCUUUUACCCGCGAUGAUACGACAGUAGCGGGAGAAUAAGCUCCGGCUAACUCCGUGCCAGCAGCCGCGGUAUACGGAGGGAGCUAGCGUGUUCGGAAUUACUGGGCGUAAAGCGCACGUAGGCGGCUAUUCAAGUCAGGGUGAAAUCCCGGAGCUCAACUCGGAACUGCCUCUGAAACUAGGAUAGCUAGAUCUUUGGAGCAGGUUGAGUGGAAUUCCGAGUGUAGAGGUGAAAUUCGUAGAUAUCGGAAGAACACCAGUGGCGAAGGCGACUCAACUGGGACACAGUAUGACGCUUGAGGUGCCGAAAAGCGUUGGGAGCAACAGGGAUUAGAUACCUGGUAAUUCCACGCGUAA
rnacentral:rRNA from 1 species